AUUGAACGCUGGCGGCAGGCCUAACACAUGCAAGUCGAACGGUAACAGGAAGAAGCUUGCUUCUUUGCUGACGAGUGGCGGACGGGUGAGUAUGUCUGGGAAACUGCCUGAUGGAGGGGGAUAACUACUGGAAACGGUAGCUAAUACCGCAUAACGUCGCAAGACCAAAGAGGGGGACCUUCGGGCCUCUUGCCAUCGGAUGUGCCCAGAUGGGAUUAGCUAGUAGGUGGGGUAACGGCUCACCUAGGCGACGAUCCCUAGCUGGUCUGAGAGGAUGACCAGCCACACUGGAACUGAGACACGGUCCAGACUCCUACGGGAGGCAGCAGUGGGGAAUAUUGCACAAUGGGCGCAAGCCUGAUGCAGCCAUGCCGCGUGUAUGAAGAAGGCCUUCGGGUUGUAAAGUACUUUCAGCGGGGAGGAAGGGAGUAAAGUUAAUACCUUUGCUCAUUGACGUUACCCGCAGAAGAAGCACCGGCUAACUCCGUG
rnacentral:rRNA from 1 species